rnacentral:misc_RNA from 1 species
ACACCCUCAAGCUCUGCUUGGUGUUGGGCGUCUGUCCCCGCCUCCGCGCGCGGACUCGCCUCAAAGCGAUUGGCGGCUGGUACCACGGCCUGGAGUGCAGCAGAAUUGCGCUCCUUGUCUCGGGGUCUGGCUCCCAGAAGCGAACUUUUUUCACUU